rnacentral:lncRNA from 1 species
AUGUGUUUUGUGGAUCUGGAGAAGGCGUAUGACCGGGUCCCCCGGGAGAAACUGUGGGAGGUGCUGCGGGAGUAUGGGGUAAGGGGGUCUAUCCUCAGGGCCAUCCAAUCUUUGUACUCCCAAAGCGAGAGCUGUGUUCGUGUUCUCGGCAGCCAGUCAGUUUCGUUCUCAGUGGGUGCUGGUCUCCGCCAGGGCUGCGCCUUGUCACCAAUCCUGUUUGUGAUAUACAUGGACAGGAUAUCGAGGCGUAGUCGUGGUGGGGAGGGGUUGCAGUUCGGUGGUCUGAGGAUCUCGUCACUGCUUUUUGCAGAUGAUGUGGUCCUCAUUGGAUCAUCGGCCUGUGACCUUCAGCACUCACUGGAUCGGCUGGCGGCCGAGUGUGAAGCGGCUGGGAUGAGGAUCAGCACCGCUAAAUCUGAGGCCAUGACUCUUAGCAGGAAACCGGUGGAUUGCUUACUCCGGGUAGGAAAUGAGUCCUUAGCCCAGGUGAAGGAGUUCAAGUACCUCGGGGUCUUGUUCGCGAGUGAGGGUACUAUGGAGCGUGAGAUUGGCCGGAGAAUCGGAGCAGCGGGGGCGGUAUUGCGUUCGCUUUACCGCACCGUUGUAACGAAAAGAGAGCUGAGCCGCAAGGCAAAGCUCUCGAUCUACCGGUCGAUCUUCGUUCCUAUCCUCACCUAUGGUCAUGAGGGCUGGGUGAUGACCGAAAGGACGAGAUCGCGGGUACAAGCGGCCGAGAUGAGUUUUCUCAGAAGGGUGGCUGGCGUCUCCCUUAGGGAUAGGGUGAGAAGCUCAGCCAUCCGUGAGGAACUCGGAUUAGAGCCGCUGCUCCUUUACUUAGAAAGGAGUCAGCUGAGGUGGUUCGGGCAUCUGGUAAGGAUGCCCACUGGGCGCCUUCCUUGGGAGGUGUUUCAGGCACGUCCAGUGGGGAGGAGACCUCGGGGAAGACCCAGGACUAGGUGGAGAGAUUAUAUCUCAACACUGGCCUGGGAACGCCUCGGGAUCCCCCCGUCAGAGCUGGUCAAUGUGGCCCGGGAAAGGGAAGUCUGGGGCCCCCUGCUUGAGCUGCUCCCCCCGCGACCCGACCCCGGAUAA